AGGGGAUCGUAAGACCUUGCACUAUUAGAGCGGCCGAUAUCGGAUUAGCUAGUUGGUGGGGUAACGGCUCACCAAGGCGACGAUCCGUAGCUGGUUUGAGAGGACGACCAGCCACACUGGGACUGAGACACGGCCCAGACUCCUACGGGAGGCAGCAGUGGGGAAUUUUGGACAAUGGGGGAAACCCUGAUCCAGCCAUCCCGCGUGUGCGAUGAAGGCCUUCGGGUUGUAAAGCACUUUUGGCAGGAAAGAAACGUUCCGGGUUAAUACCCCGGGAAACUGACGGUACCUGCAGAAUAAGCACCGGCUAACUACGUGCCAGCAGCCGCGGUAAUACGUAGGGUGCAAGCGUUAAUCGGAAUUACUGGGCGUAAAGCGUGCGCAGGCGGUUCGGAAAGAAAGAUGUGAAAUCCCAGAGCUUAACUUUGGAACUGCAUUUUUAACUACCGAGCUAGAGUGUGUCAGAGGGAGGUGGAAUUCCGCGUGUAGCAGUGAAAUGCGUAGAUAUGCGGAGGAACACCGAUGGCGAAGGCAGCCUCCUGGGAUAACACUGACGCUCAUGCACGAAAGCGUGGGGAGCAAACAGG
rnacentral:rRNA from 1 species